rnacentral:rRNA from 1 species
GUAAGGAAUAUUGGACAAUGGACGCAAGUCUGAUCCAGCCAUGCCGCGUGAAGGAUUAAGGUCCUCUGGAUUGUAAACUUCUUUUAUAAGGGACGAAAAAAGGCUUUUCUAAGUCGUCUGACGGUACCUUAUGAAUAAGCACCGGCUAACUCCGUGCCAGCAGCCGCGGUAAUACGGAGGGUGCAAGCGUUAUCCGGAUUCACUGGGUUUAAAGGGUGCGUAGGCGGGCAGGUAAGUCAGUGGUGAAGUCCUAGAGCUUAACUCUAGAACUGCCAUUGAUACUAUCUGUCUUGAAUAUUGUGGAGGUAAGCGGAAUAUGUCAUGUAGCGGUGAAAUGCUUAGAUAUGACAUAGAACACCUAUUGCGAAGGCAGCUUACUACGCAUAUAUUGACGCUGAGGCACGAAAGCGUGGGGAUCAAACAGGAUUAGAUACCCGAGUAGUCC